AUUGAACGCUGGCGGCAGGCCUAACACAUGCAAGUCGAACGAGUGGCGGACGGGUGAGUAAUGUCUGGGAAACUGCCUGAUGGCGGGGGAUAAAUACUGGAAACGGUAGCUAAUCCCGUAUACCAUCAGCUGUGCACAGAUGGGAUUAGCUUGUGGGUGGGGUAACGGCUCACCAAGGCGACGAGCCCUAGCUGGUCUGAGAGGAUGACCAGCCACACUGGAACUGAGACACGGUCCAGACUCCUACGGUAGGCAGCAGUGGGGAAUAUUGCACAAUGGGCGCUAGCCUGAUGCAGCCAUGCCGCGUGUAUGAAGAAGGCCUUCGGGUUGUAAAGUACUUUCAGCGGGGAGGCGUUACCCGCAGAAGAAGCACCGGCUAACUCCGUGCCAGCCGCCGCGGUAAUUC
rnacentral:rRNA from 1 species